AUCGUAGGCCUCCAUACGGCCAGAGCCAGCCGAAUCCUGGCAUUCCUCCGAGAAACACCUUGGACUCCACUUUGAAGAAAUAUGCUGCCUUAGAUGAAUUUGAUAAGAAAAUGUCACCGCUUUAUAAAACACAACGGGACUUCAUGAACCUACCUGAUGAUCUGCCUUACGAAAACCAUCCACCAGCAGUUAUGUUU